rnacentral:rRNA from 1 species
GUGGGGAAUCUUGCGCAAUGGGCGAAAGCCUGACGCAGCCAUGCCGCGUGAAUGAUGAAGGUCUUAGGAUUGUAAAAUUCUUUCACCGGGGACGAUAAUGACGGUACCCGGAGAAGAAGCUCCGGCUAACUUCGUGCCAGCAGCCGCGGUAAUACGAAGGGGGCUAGCGUUGCUCGGAAUUACUGGGCGUAAAGGGAGCGUAGGCGGACAGCUUAGUCAGAGGUGAAAGCCCAGGGCUCAACCUUGGAAUUGCCUUUGAUACUGGCUGUCUUGAGUUUGGGAGAGGUGAGUGGAACUCCGAGUGUAGAGGUGAAAUUCGUAGAUAUUCGGAAGAACACCAGUGGCGAAGGCGACUCACUGGCCCAAUACUGACGCUGAGGCGCGAAAGCGUGGGGAGCAAACAGGAUUAGAAACCCUGGUAGUCC